rnacentral:lncRNA from 1 species
CCAGCAGUGAGUGCAGCGUGGGCUUUCAGCUGCAGAUCUCUUGGCCUUGGGAGUGAACCCUACUAAGAUGCAGUGGAAAAGCUAACGAUGGGAUCAAGCUGGCUGUGCUGGCAUUUUGAUUUGAUGGAAAACAUUUCUUGGCUCUAAUUUUGAAUGCUUUGUGGCCUCAAGGAGCAACUAAUACAUCAGCUGAAUUCUUAAGGCAUUACCAUGGGAAUUUUCCCUUUCUGGGGAUUGUAACAGAGCUC